AUUGCAAGUCUGAGGCCAUAGCAGAAGUGCUCAUGGUGCAGCCAUGUCAGAUUCCAAUGAAUCUGCAAAUUCUGCU
rnacentral:ribozyme from 1 species